rnacentral:rRNA from 1 species
CUCGUAGUUGAACCGAGGGGGCGGAGCACGGUUAAAAAGCUUUCGGGUCUUCGCUUCGCGCGGGGGCUCGGAGGUCGUGCAUUCGCCUUCGAAUUUGCGAUGAUCAAAAAACCGGCUCGGAGGGGAUCCGUCUCGUCGAAAGGCGGGGCGGGUGUUCGCCUUGUCGGAUCGCAGAGUUUUACUUUGAAUAAAUUAGGGUGUUCAAAGCAGACGAAUACGUCUUGAAUAGAUUAGCAUGGGAUAAUAGAAUAAGACCUUUUUCGGCUUACGUUUGCUGGUUUCUGAGGCCGAGGUAAUGAUUAAUAGGGACGGUCGGGGUCGCUCGUACUCGGUGGUGAGAGGUGAAAUUCUAAGACCCAUCGAAGACGAACAAGUGCGAAGGCAUUCGACAAGGAUGUUUUCUUUAAUCAAGAACGAAAGUUAUGGGAUCGAAGAUGAUCAGAUACCGUCGUAGUCAUAACCGUAAACUAUGUUGACUCGGGAUCAGGGGAUGUUACACGGAUGACUCUCCUGGCACCGUGUGCGAAAGCACAAGUAUUCGAACUCCGGGGGGAGUAUGGUCGCAAGGCUGAAACUUAAAGGAAUUGACGGAAGGGCACCACCAGGUGUGGAAUCUGCGGCUUAAUUUGACCCAACACGGGGAAACUUACCCAGUCCGGACGCGAUGAGGAUUGACAGAUUGAUAGUUCUUUCUUGAUUUUGUGGAAGCCGGUGCAUGGCCGUUUUUAGUUGGUGGAGUGAUUUGUCUGGUUAAGUCCGAUAACGAACGAGACCUAAAUUUAUUAAAUAGUGGUGCGAACAAGGGGGCUUUCGCGGCGGGUUCGGGUUCGCUCGGGCUCGUCGGGGCCUCCGCAAAUUUGUUCGUAGCGAUUGUACUUCUUAGAGAGACACUUGGUCGAUAACAGCAGCCAAUGGAAGUUUUAGGCAAAAACAGGUCUGUGAUGCCGCUAGAUGUCUGGGGCUGCACGCGCGUUACACUGACGUGUUCAACAAGUAUUUAAGAAUAACCUGGCCCGAGGGGGUUUGGGCAAUCUCUGAAUGCACGUCGUGAUGGGGAUUGUGCUUUGUAACUAUCGCACAUGAACGAGGAAUACCUAGUAAGGGCAGGUCAUCAACCUGUCCUGAUUACGUCCCUGCCCUUUGUACACACCGCCCGUCGCUUCUACCGAUUGAAUUACUCGAUGAGGACUCGGGAGGCGGAGCACGAUCCGGUUCUGCCGGUGACGUUCUGCCGAACCUGUUCGAAUCUCGUAGUUUAGAGGAAGAAGAAGUCGU